rnacentral:rRNA from 1 species
CCUACGGGGGGCAGCAGUGAGGAAUAUUGGUCAAUGGACGAGAGUCUGAACCAGCCAAGUAGCGUGAAGGAUGACUGCCCUAUGGGUUGUAAACUUCUUUUAUAUGGGAAUAAAAUGUUGUACGCGUACGCUUUUGUAUGUACCAUAUGAAUAAGGAUCGGCUAACUCCGUGCCAGCAGCCGCGGUAAUACGGAGGAUCCGAGCGUUAUCCGGAUUUAUUGGGUUUAAAGGGAGCGUAGGUGGAUUGUUAAGUCAGUUGUGAAAGUUUGCGGCUCAACCGUAAAAUUGCAGUUGAAACUGGCAGUCUUGAGUACAGUAGAGGUGGGCGGAAUUCGUGGUGUAGCGGUGAAAUGCUUAGAUAUCACGAAGAACUCCGAUUGCGAAGGCAGCUCACUGGACUGCAACUGACACUGAGGCUCGAAAGUGUGGGUAUCAAACAGGAUUAGAUACCCUAGUAGUC